UCACACGAGUAGAAGUGUCAGUCCUAAAAACGAGAAUACAACCAAAUGAUGAAGCUCAACAGGAAGUGCAGACUCGGUCUAUUCCUGAUCCAAGGGAGGUUGCAGGAUGUCUGUUGCAUAUGUUGCUCCAACAAAGUCGUCCUAUGCUAUGUCUCAUCCUUUGGCAUAUCAUCAUGAGGAUGUGAAUUCCACAGGAAGGCCCAUGUGAUCCUAUUGCUCCCUUAGAUCUUCCACAUUUUUUACAGUCUUUCCACCGUGUAUCAGCUUGUGACUCAAUAUGGAAGGAUACCAGUAUACCACACAUUCUGUGGAGGAUUCUGGAAUUAUUUUAGCUUGGAUUUGCAAAAGAUCAAGUUGAGGAAGUGCCUAGCAUCAGAGUCGAUGGAAGGUGAAUAAAAAUUUAGCCAUUGAGAGGAUCCAGAUAUUUCAAUACUUGACAGUGAAUAGAGAGCAGUAAACAAGAUUUAAUGGGCACUCCUUUGAUGUACCCUUUAUCAUCUUUUGAGUUCUGACAGUGUAGAGUAGAGAUGCCUGGUGAUUGCCUCUUUGUAGAUACUCUUCCUAUUGCAUGUGUAUAAACUUCAGAGAGACUAGAUUUGGGUUUAGUCAUUUCAUGUAUUUAGUUCAUUUAUUAAGUUUCAUGAUUUAGUUUAGUUUUGUAUUGGUUGUUUCCAAAGAAUUUGUAAG